rnacentral:other from 1 species
UGACCCCUACAGUGUUCGUUAGUAACCCGGGUAUUUUCUUGAGCCUAAUUAGUGCCCUGGGAACAAAAUGCCGAUGCCGGUGUGCAUGUCCGCCUCGUAGCGGGAAGCCUGAAGCAUCCCUGCUGUUCCCACUUGAACCUACCGGUUCAAGAACAAUGGUUUGCGACGGCACAUGUGGGGGUUGU